rnacentral:tRNA from 13 species
UCCAUAACUCAGCAGUCUAGAGUGUCUGGUUGUUAGCCGGAAAGUCGCAGGUUAGAUCCUUACUGG